UUUCUUUUGUUUUUUCUGAAAAUGGGUAUUGGGUUUUGAUAAUUGGGCUAGGUUUGGGUUGUAUUUGGGUUUGGUUUAAUUUGGGCUUAUUGGGCUACUUGGGCUGUUAUUUGGUGAGGCCCGGGCAAAAAUUUGGGCUCUACAUAUACUAUUUACGAAAGCAGUUUAUCUAACUGUUUUAUCCAAUGACCUCGUCAAAAGUACCAUGAGCAUUUAGAGAUGCAAGACUCCGUUAGAAGGGUCGAGGUGAUAAAGAUAUGCUCUGCACUAGAACAGAUGUGUUUC
rnacentral:lncRNA from 1 species